rnacentral:rRNA from 1 species
CGGGUGAGUAACACGUAUCCAGCCUGCCGUCUACUCUUGGACAGCCUUCUGAAAGGAAGAUUAAUACAAGAUGGCAUCAUGAGUCCGCAUGUUCACAUGAUUAAAGGUAUUCCGGUAGACGAUGGGGAUGCGUUCCAUUAGAUAGUAGGCGGGGUAACGGCCCACCUAGUCUUCGAUGGAUAGGGGUUCUGAGAGGAAGGUCCCCCACAUUGGAACUGAGACACGGUCCAA